rnacentral:rRNA from 1 species
UAGGGAAUCUUGCACAAUGGGCGAAAGCCUGAUGCAGCAACGCCGCGUGAGUGAUGAAGGUCUUCGGAUUGUAAAGCUCUGUCUUUUGGGACGAUAAUGACGGUACCAAAGGAGGAAGCCACGGCUAACUACGUGCCAGCAGCCGCGGUAAUACGUAGGUGGCGAGCGUUGUCCGGAUUUACUGGGCGUAAAGGGUGCGUAGGCGGAUGUUUAAGUGAGAUGUGAAAUACCCGGGCUUAACUUGGGUGCUGCAUUUCAAACUGGAUAUCUAGAGUGCAGGAGAGGAGAAUGGAAUUCCUAGUGUAGCGGUGAAAUGCGUAGAGAUUAGGAAGAACACCAGUGGCGAAGGCGAUUCUCUGGACUGUAACUGACGCUGAGGCACGAAAGCGUGGGUAGCAAACAGGAUUAGAUACCCUGGUAGUCCACGCCGUAAACGAUGAGUACUAGGUGUAGGAGGUAUCGACCCCUUCUGUGCCGCAGUAAACACAUUAAGUACUCCGCCUGGGAAGUACGAUCGCAAGAUUAAAACUCUAAAGUGAAUUGAC